rnacentral:rRNA from 1 species
GUUGACCUCGGAUCAGGUAGGGAUACCCGCUGAACUUAAGCAUAUCAAUAAGCGGAGGAAAAGAAACCAACAGGGAUUGCCUCAGUAACGGCGAGUGAAGCGGCAACAGCUCAAAUUUGAAAUCUGGCGCAAGCCCGAGUUGUAAUUUGUAGAGGAUGCUUCAGGGCAGCGGCCGGUCUAGGUUCCUUGGAACAGGACGUCGUAGAGGGUGAGAAUCCCGUAUGCGACCGGUGGGCACCCGUCACGUAGCUCCUUCGACGAGUCGAGUUGUUUGGGAAUGCAGCUCUAAAUGGGUGGUAAAUUCCAUCUAAAGCUAAAUACCGGCCAGAGACCGAUAGCGCACAAGUAGAGUGAUCGAAAGAUGAAAAGCACUUUGGAAAGAGAGUUAAAAAGCACGUGAAAUUGUUGAAAGGGAAGCGCAUGCAACCAGACUCGUCGGCGGCGUUCCGCCGGUCUUCUGACCGGUCUACUCGCCGCCGGCGGGCCAGCAUCAUCUGGGCGCGCCGGACAAAGGCGCGGGGAAUGUAGCUCCUCGGAGUGUUAUAGGCCCGCGCACAAUACGGCGCCGCCCGGGUGAGGUCCGCGCUCCGGCUAGGAUGCUGGCGUAAUGGUUGUACGCGGCCCGUCUUGAAACACGGACCAAGGAGUCUAACAUCUAUGCGAGUGUUCGGGUGUCAAACCCCUGCGCGGAAUGAAAGUGAACGGAGGUGGGAAGCGCGAGCUGCACCAUCGACCGAUCCUGAUGUCUUCGGAUGGAUUCGAGUAAGAGCAUAGCUGUUGGGACCCGAAAGAUGGUGAACUAAACUUGGCCAGAGCGAAGCCAGAGGAAACUCUGGUGGAGGCUCGCAGCGGUUCUGACGUGCAAAUCGAUCGUCAAAUUUGGGUAUAGGGGCGAAAGACUAAUCGAACCAUCUAGUAGCUGGUUCCUGCCGAAGU